rnacentral:rRNA from 1 species
UACGUUCCCGGGCCUUGUACACACCGCCCGUCACACCACGAAAGUCGGCAACACCCGAAGCCGGUGGCCCAACCCGCAAGGGAGGGAGCCGUCGAAGGUGGGGUCGGUGAUUGGGGUG